rnacentral:pre_miRNA from 1 species
AAAAAGACAAACCCUGAUUUUCAUGUCCAACGUUUGACCGUCCGUCUUAUUUAAAAAAAUUAUGAAAAAAAAUUAAAAAGACAAGUCACACAUAAAGUAUUAAUAAUAUUUUUUUAUUUAAAAGAAUUAUAAAAAAAUUUCAUACAAGACGGACAGUUAAAAUUGGACACGAAAAUAUAGGGUUUGUUUUUUU